UCCCCGAAAGCUAUUUAGGUAGCGCCUCGUGAAUUCAUCUCCGGGGGUAGAGCACUGUUUCGGCAAGGGGGUCAUCCCGACUUACCAACCCGAUGCAAACUGCGAAUACCGGAGAAUGUUAUCACGGGAGACACACGGCGGGUGCUAACGUCCGUCGUGAAGAGGGAAACAACCCAGACCGCCAGCUAAGGUCCCAAAGUCAUGGUUAAGUGGGAAACGAUGUGGGAAGGCCCAGACAGCCAGGAUGUUGGCUUAGAAGCAGCCAUCAUUUAAAGAAAGCGUAAUAGCUCACUGGUCGAGUCGGCCUGCGCGGAAGAUGUAACGGGGCUAAACCAUG
rnacentral:rRNA from 1 species